rnacentral:lncRNA from 1 species
AUCAGGAGACAUUUGCCCUUGUUGCAAAAAUGAACACUUAGAAUACUUUUGUCUUGUGCAGUUAAUCUUGAUUGGGACUUACAACAAUUUGAUGUGAAGAACGCAUUUCUUCAUGGCGACUUAGAAGAAGAGGUGUAUAUGGAGAUUCCUCCUGGAUUUGAUACUGAACAAAGUCAAGGAAAAGUGUGCAGGUUGAAGAAAGACUUGUAUAGACUGAAGCAAUCUCCAAGAGCUUGGUUUGACAGAUUCUCCAAAGCAAUGAUAUCCUUCGAUUACCAACAAAGUAAUGAUGAUCAUACCCUCUUCAUGAAACACCAAAAGGGUAAACUCAUUUUUCUCAUAGUUUAUGUUGAUGACAUAGUAAUGACAUGGAAUGACAAUGAAGAGAUGCCUUCUCAUGGUUUAUGUUGAUGACAUAGUAAUGACAAUGAAAUGAUGGCCCGAUUGAAGAAGUUGUUAGCCCAGGAAUUUGAGAUCAAAGAUCUAGGGAAGUUGCAAUACAUCUUGGGAAUUGAGGUUGCUAGAUCAGAAGGAGGGAUCUUUAUUUCUCAAAGGAAAUAUAUCCUAGACCUUUUGAAAGAAACUGGUAUGACAGGUUGCAAGCCAGCAGAAUCUCCCACUGAAAGUAAUCACAAGUUACAACUGGUGUUGGAAAGUCAAUCGAUAAGGAGAGAUAUCAGAGGUUGGUUAGAAAGCUUAUUUAUCUCUCUCACACUAGGCCAGAUAUAGCAUAUUCAGUUAGCUUGGUGAGUCAGUUCAUGCACAAUCCACGAGAUCCUCAUAUGCAAGCUGUCUUUUACGUUUUGCGGUAUCUGAAGUCUGCACCAGGAAAGGGUCUACUUUUCUCCAAGCAUGGUCACCUCCAGGUAGAAGCCUUUACAGAUGCGGAUUGAGCUGGAUCUCUAGAUGACAUAAGAUCUACAAUUGGUUAUUGUACACUCGUGGGAGGGAAUGUAGUUACUUGGAGAAGCAAGAAACAAAAUGUAGUUGCCAGAUCCAGUACAUACGUCUGGGUACUGUACACUUGUGGGAGGGAAUGCAGUUACUUGGAGAAGCAAGAAACAAAAUGUUGUUGCUAGAUCCAGUGCAGAAGCAGAAUAUAGAGCAAUGGCCCAGGGUGUUUGUGAAAUGAUUUGGCUACAAAAGUUAAUGGAUGAAUUGAGAUUGUCUGAGACAGGGAAGCUUUUGUUAUAUUGCGACGACAAGGUUGCAAUUAGUAUAUCUCAUAAUCCAGUCCAACAUGAUAGAACAAUUGAAGCUUUUGUUAUAUUGCGACAACAAGGCUGCAAUUAGCAUAGCUCAUAAUCCGGUUCAACAUGAUAGAAAAAAACAUGUUGAAAUGAUCGACAUUUCAUCAAAGGAAAGAUUGUUGAUGGCACCUUGAGUUUGCUUCAUGUAUCGUCAGAAAAGCAGCUAGCAGAUGUGCUCACAAAAGGCCUCAGCAAAAAGACUUUUCACACUUUGGUUUGCAAGUUGGGCAUGUGCGACAUCUUUGCACCAACUUGAGGGGGAGUGUUGAUUAGUGUAAUUAGUUAGAAGAUUUGAUUAGAUUAGAUUUUAUUCUCUAGCCUAAUUAUAGGCUGAUUAUAUUCUGUAGUUUAAUUAGUGUAAUCACUGAUUUCCUUUCCUAGUUUAUCCAUAGGAUACAUUGUAUAAAUAUCAGUACUCUUGAUGUGAAUAAUAUACUGAAAUACAAGAAGUUCUAUUCUUCUUCUUGAAAUCUUCAAAGAUUCUAUCUCCACUCCCUCCAUCCGCUACCUAACUUUUUCACUCUUCAACUCCGUCAUGUAUCCUCACGACUAAGAAGACAAGCUAUACGAGUUCACAAAUCAGCUGAUGGGUAAUAGUUAUUCAAAGUCAAAGCCUCAUGAGUACCUACGCUUCAUGAUUACCUACAGUUACUGUAAUAGAAGGAUUUUACACUUUUAGCUUGUGGAAGAUCUUAAUCUUAUAUUCUUGUCGCAUUAAAAUCCAUGUUCUCAGCACCAUCAUUCAAGUAAAUUGUAAAUUUAAAGUUCUAGUUUAUCUCGACUUAGGUCUUGUCAGAGUUUAGCCAUCAUCAUAUUAUUUCACUCAUCUGUCCCAUUAGCUUCUAUCUUUCAACCAACAUGUGAGAAGGCACGGGAGAAGAAUAUAUAAUUGAUAUGUAAACAUGAUACAAUGAGCCC